rnacentral:lncRNA from 1 species
AAAAUCUGGACAAUAACGCGGCUACCCCCACCACUCAAAUUUCAAUUCGUUGCAAGACCUGUAUGUAAGACCGUGAGAUAUACUUACUUACACGACUUGAGCCGAAUCUCUCCGAAUAACAUUAUUUUACUAGUUCAACCGUACAUUUUAUCAUCUCUUUCCCCCUUUCAUACGUUGGGGGUAUAAACAUACGAUCCCAAGCUAAGGUUCGUGAGCGGGUGAGCGCGCCAAGAUUACACAGAGGCUUUACAUGAUACGUGGCGUCGUUUUAAUAAAUUUCGUUGAUACUGAUUGAGAGUAGUUUAUUAUAAUGUUUUUGAUGGAAUGCAAAGCAGACAACUCUUUAACAAUUGUUGAGAAUGAAAACGUCAUUUAUGAGAAGAAUACUGAAGUGGAAGAGGAUGAAUUGCUUACAUUUUUUGUUGGUGGUAAAAGUUUUUUAGGUUACGUUAAGGCACGUGGAGAUGAUGAAGAUGCAUUGAAAGCUAAACAAAAACAGUGGUUAAAAGACCACAAAAAGAAGCCGGGUAAAUCUAAUAAGACGUCAGAAAAAGUGAUUGUAUCUCCGAUCAAGGCUAGACGAAUCUUGAAGAAAGAAUCCCCUCUGAAAGUGAAUUCAAAAAAAGAAGAGGCUAAGAAAAGUAAAAAAAAAAAACGAGGAGAAGGAGUCUUUAAUAAAACGUCAUGUCGACACCCAGAAAGAAGUUGCUCAGAUUAUUAAUCAAAGUAAAAGUCAAGUCUUGUCUAGUUCGGAGUCGUCUGAUGCUGAAAACAGUCCAUCUAAAGAUGAACUGAAAACUGAACUGAAGAGACUUCGUGCUGCUAAUGGAAUCUCUAAUCGUUCUACUUCUACUGAUAACGCACAAUUACAUUAACACGAUGUUUAGAAAGAUGGAUCAUCAGAAAAAGAGGAAGAAAUAAAAAGAUAGGAGGGGACACCGGCUAAAAAAAAGAGAACCGUCGUAAUUGAAGAAAAGCCGGCACCAAGUCAAUUAUUCGAUAAAGAUUAUCUAAGACCAAUUUCGCCAUUCAACGAGGAUAGUCGAGGCAAUUUGAAAUUCCAACGAGGAGCUUUAUCGUUGGUCAAAUGCCUCAGCGAGUCGGUGAAAUUAAGCGUUAAAUUUCAUCAUCCAAAGCUCUACUCGCGCCACCACGCUUGUCUGAACCAUGAAUAAUUUUCAUGAUUUUUUUUUUUUUUUUUACGUGUAAACAAGUUUAUCCUUUAAUUAUUACCUUUAUUUGUACACGUUUCAAAUUUAAUAAGUUUCCGUAUCAAACCAGUAAACAAAUUUACAUCAGAUUAUUAUCAUAUAAUUAUUAUUAUUCUAAAAGAGAACUAAAAAAAUCAUUGAUGUAAACCAAAAUUUUAUCGGGUUUCUUAAUAUAAAUAAGAAAACUAAUCAUUCAAUUUCUUUAUUUAAAACUAUGUUCAGGAAAAA